CCCGGACCGGAAACAGCCCGAACCCUGUUCUAUAAAUACUGUUAUAGAUAUUUAUUAUAUUUAUUAUAUAUUGUAUAUAUUAUAUAUAUUAUUAAACCUGCUGCUAAACGCUGCUGUGUGUUACUGUGGAGUUAAGGUGGAGUUAGUGUGGAGGUUAGUGUGUAGUUAAGGUGUAGUUAGUGUGUAGUUAAGGUGGAGUUAGGGUGUAGUCAGGGUGUAGUCAGGGUGUAGUCUGGGUCAGGUUAGGGUGUAGUUAGGGUGUAAUUAGGGUGUAGUCUGGG